rnacentral:rRNA from 1 species
GGAUCCAGACUUUGAUCCUGGCUCAGGAUGAACGCUAGCUACAGGCUUAACACAUGCAAGUCGAGGGGAAACGAUAUUGGAAGCUUGCUUCCGAUAGGCGUCGACCGGCGCACGGGUGAGUAACGCGUAUCCAACCUGCCCACCACUUGGGGAUAACCUUGCGAAAGUAAGACUAAUACCCAAUGAUAUCUCUAGAAGACAUCUGAAAGGGAUUAAAGAUUUAUCGGUGAUGGAUGGGGAUGCGUCUGAUUAGCUUGUUGGCGGGGUAACAGCCCACCAAGGCUACGAUCAGUAGGGGUUCUGAGAGGAAGGUCCCCCACAUUGGAACUGAGACACGGUCCAAACUCCUACGGGAGGCAGCAGUGAGGAAUAUUGGUCAAUGGACGAGAGUCUGAACCAGCCAAGUAGCGUGCAGGAUGACGGCCCUAUGGGUUGUAAACUGCUUU